rnacentral:snRNA from 1 species
GGAUGUGAGGGCGAUCUGGCUGCGACAUCUGUCACCCCAUUGAUCGCCAGAGUUGAUUCAGCUGAGCUGGCUGGCUAGGCAGGUGUCCCCUUCCUCCCUCACCGCUCCAUGUGCGUCCCUCCCGAAGCUGCGCGCUCGGUCAAAGAGGAUGACCAUCCCCGAUAGAGGAGGACCGGUCUUCAGUCAAGGGUAUACGAGUAGCUGCGCUCCCCUGCUAGAACCUCCAAACAAGCUCUCAAGAAAAUAUCACUAAAUUGAAACAAACCUGGAGAAGAGUCAUUGGCCUACCCCAGGGGUUCUUAAUAUGGC